GCUGGGCGUAGUGGCGUGUGCCUGUAAUCCGAGCUACUUGGGAGGCUGAGGCAGGAGAAUCACUUGAACCCGGGAGACGGAGUUUGCAGUGAGCCAAGAUCGCACCACUGCACUCCAGCCUGGGUGACAGAGCAAGACUCUGUCUCAA
ensembl:misc_RNA Metazoa_SRP Metazoan signal recognition particle RNA